rnacentral:lncRNA from 1 species
AACAAAUGCCUACUCCAUAGGCAGAGCAGAUGCAUGGGCUGUUGAUUGCCUACUUUUACGAUUAUUUCUUGAUAAUGUGCUAAAGGAGGGGUGGAUUAUUCAUGAGUUUUCUGGGAAAGGGGUGGGAAAUUCCCUGGAACUGAGGGUUCCUCCCCUUUUCGGACCAUAUAGGGUAACUUCCUGAUGUUUUCAUGGCAUUUGUAAACUCUCCUGGUGCUGCUGAAAGUGUCUUUUAGCAUGCUAAUGUAUUAUAAUUAACAUAUAAUGAGCAGUGAGGAGACCAGAGGUUGCCAUCUUGGUUUUGGUGGGGUUUGGCCAGCUUCUUUACCUCGGACUAUUAUAUCAGCAAGGUCUUUGUGACCUAUAUCUUACGCCAACCUCCUGUUUCAUCCUGUGACUUAGAACGCCAUAACCUCCUGGGAAUGCAGCCCAAUAGGUCUCAGCCUCAUUUUACCCAGCCCCUAUUCAAGAUGGAGUCGCUCUGGUUCAAAUACCUCUGAUACAGAGAGGGAAGAAACACCAACCCUCAGCGUGGACGCUGGCAGCUGCGACCUCUCAUGAAAGGGUGCGGAUGGCCUCUGGUGAACUGGAUGAGGUCUCUGCACCUAAAAAGUGAACUGCCAUAUAAUCCAGCAAUCCCACUGCUGAGUAUAUACCCAAAAGAAAGAAAAUCAGUAAAUCAAACAGAUACCUGCACUUUGAUGUUUGUUGCAGCACAGUUUACAUAGCUAAGAUUUGGAAGCAACCUAAGUGUUCAUCAACAGAUGAAUGGAUAAAGAAAAUGUGGUACAUAGACACAACAGAGCAUUAUUGGUUGUUGUGGUGAUGAAAGAAGAUAACAUAAAAACAGAAAAAUGGCGAAGAGCACAGAUUCCACAGCCUAAUGUCCUGAGUUUAAAUUCCUACUCUGCCAUUUACCAGGCUGGAAGUCCAAGGUGAAGAUGUUGGCAGGGUUGGCUCCUUCUGAGGCUGUGAGGAAAGGAUCUGUUCCAGACCUCUCUCCUUUACUUUGUGGAUGGCCGCCUUGUCCCUGUGUCCUCACCUAAUCUUCCCUCUGUACGUGUGUCCAAAUUUCCUCUUUUUAUAAAGAUGCCACUCAUAUUAGAUUUGGCCCAGCCUAAUGACCUCCUUUCCACUUAGUUACCUUUUGAAAGACUGUCUCCCAAUACGGUCACAUUCUGUUUUAGCCAGGUCUGGCUACUAUUACAGAAUACCCUAGGCUGUGCCUCAGAGUUCUGGAGGCAGGAAGUCCAAGAUCAAGGCACCAGCAGAUCAGUGUCUGGUGAGAGUCUCUUUCUGGUCUGCAGAUGGCCAUCUUCUGGUUGUGGCCUCACAUGGCAGAGAGAAAAAUCACCUCUCUUGUGUCUCUUCUUAUAUAGCACUAACCCCAUUCAAGAGGGAUUCACCCUCACGACCUAGUUACUGCAACAUUGGGGAUUAGGGUUUCAACAUAUGAACUUAGGGUGAAUACAGACAUUCAGUCCAUCACUUAUUCUGAGGUGUUGGGGUAAGAAUUUCCACAUACAAUUUUUUGAUUAUUGGGGACACAAUUUAGUUUAUAACAUAAUGGCAAACAUGGAAAGAAAGCUAAGAAAAAAAAUAUUAAAUGCGGAACAGAAAAUGCUGAACAGAAUGAGAUGACCUAAAACUACACAAUAAGCAAGUUGCAAGGUUUUCCCUUUUACACCUCCAGAUGACUACAAUAUGCACCAUUUCUGUGAGGCAGAGGAGAAUGAAUCUUAUUUUCUGCGUUAGACAAAAGGUAAUAAGCCCUGCAAGUACUUACACAGUCUUGGUGGAAAUACACUGAAAUUUUCUUUUCUUAAAAAAGAAAUAUAUUCUAAAAGAAGUCUAUCCUCCUUUUUAAACUACAGCUGUUUGUAAUGCCAAGGGUUAUUUAGCAACAUACAUUAGUUUGUUUAUUUGUUUUCUGAUAUAAAAAUCUUUGUUAAACAUCUUAUGGUGUGCUGCUAUAAAGACACAUGCACACGUAUGUUUAUUGUGGCACUAUUCACAAUAGCAAAGACUUGGAACCAACCCAAAUGUCCAU